GAUGAACGCUGGCGGCGUGCCUAAUACAUGCAAGUCGAGCGAACAGACGAGGAGCUUGCUCCUCUGACGUUAGCGGCGGACGGGUGAGUAACACGUGGAUAACCUACCUAUAAGACUGGGAUAACUUCGGGAAACCGGAGCUAAUACCGGAUAAUAUAUUGAACCGCAUGGUUCAAUAGUGAACGACGGUUUUGCUGUCACUUAUAGAUGGAUCCGCGCCGCAUUAGCUAGUUGGUAAGGUAACGGCUUACCAAGGCGACGAUGCGUAGCCGACCUGAGAGGGUGAUCGGCCACACUGGAACUGAGACACGGUCCAGACUCCUACGGGAGGCAGCAGUAGGGAAUCGUCCGAAAUGGGCGAAAGCCUGACGGAGCAACGCCGCGUGAGUGAUGAAGGUCUUCGGAUCGUAAAACUCUGUUAGUAGGGAAGAACAAAUGUGUAAGUAACUAUGCACGUCUUGACGGUACCUAAUCAGAAAGCCACGGCUAACUACGUG
rnacentral:rRNA from 1 species